AGAGUUUGAUCCUGGCUCAGGACGAACGCUGGCGGCGUGCUUAACACAUGCAAGUCGAACGGAUCUUGAGAGCUUGCUCUUAAGAUCAGUGGCGAACGGGUGAGUAACACGUGAGUAACCUGCCCCUGACUCUGGGAUAACUGCUGGAAACAGCAGCUAAUACCGGAUACGACCUCGAGCCGCAUCGUUUCGAGGUGGAAAGUUCUUCGGUUGGGGAUGGACUCGCGGCCUAUCAGCUAGUUGGUGAGGUAACGGCUCACCAAGGCGACGACGGGUAGCCGGCCUGAGAGGGCGACCGGCCACACUGGGACUGAGACACGGCCCAGACUCCUACGGGAGGCAGCAGUGGGGAAUAUUGCACAAUGGGCGAAAGCCUGAUGCAGCAACGCCGCGUGUGGGAUGAAGGCCUUCGGGUUGUAAACCACUUUCAGUACCGAAGAAGCGCAAGUGACGGUAGGUGCAGAAGAAG
rnacentral:rRNA from 1 species